rnacentral:misc_RNA from 1 species
GAUGAAGAACGCAGCGAAGUGCGAUAAGUAGUGUGAAUUGCAGAAUUUCGUGAAUCAUCGAAUCUUUGAACGCAAAUUGCACUCUCCGGUUUUCCGGGAGAGUAUGCCUGUUUGAGGGUCAGCCUAAAUAAAUUCGGCUUCGUUGCUGUUGUUUUCGCGGUAACGUUUUUAGUCGGGAUUUGGGUCAUCUUAAACCGAAAGGUUUUUAAGCGACUUAAAAUUUUUUUACGAUCCCACGAACGUUUCUGAGUACUUCUUACACGUUCAAGGUAUCGAAAACCCCUAUUAGGCGUGGCCGUCGUAUCGGAUCGCGUCCAUAAUAUUUAUUCUUUAACUGACCUCAGACAGGUAAGAAUACCCGCUGAACUUAAGCAUAUCAAUAAGCGGAGGA